CCCCAUCUCCUACUGCAGAGUCAUCUUAUCUCCAUUUUGCCAUAAGGAGUCUUGUCAUUUUUUGCCUCGUUGUGACUGGAGUAAUUGUUACUCUAAUGCAAAGGAGAAGAGCUGCGGGUUAUUGAUGUCUCAAGCAGGAAGUACAACAGCCCAAAGUAUUUGAGGUCACAGCUACCUACUGGUAACCUGCAUGUAUUUCACUCAUCUACAGAGUCAGGCAUCCGAAUGCCAGCAGUGGAUCCCAAUUUGCAUAACUUUUCAGCCAGCUGGAU